rnacentral:rRNA from 1 species
UACGUAGGGUGCGAGCGUUAUCCGGAAUUAUUGGGCGUAAAGAGCUCGUAGGCGGUGUGUCGCGUCGGUCGUGAAAACUUGGGGCUUAACCCUGAGCUUGCGGUCGAUACGGGCAUCACUGGAGUUCGGCAGGGGAGACUGGAAUUCCUGGUGUAGCGGUGAAAUGCGCAGAUAUCAGGAGGAACACCGGUGGCGAAGGCGGGUUUCUGGGCCGAUACUGACGCUGAGGAGCGAAAGCGUGGGGAGCGAACAGG